GUGGUCAAGCAUCGGACUUGGAAGAAACAGUCUAAAAUGGCUUUCUUAAUAGUUCAGAACUGAUAAGCAACAACUAAUCUGUAUCAGAAUGUUAAUCUAUACUGAUUUUUAGUAAAGUUGAUCAUUAUUAAGCCAUAAAUUCACUAACUAUAUUGGACAAAAUGUCAGCAGAUACUACUGUAUGACGAUAGUGCUUGUGUAACAGUACAUAAAGAUGUAACCUAUGCUCUGCGGCAACUGAAUGUACCAUGGUUGUCGCUCCCUCUGUGUGUGUGUGUGUGUACACAUGAGUGUGAGCACACGUUAGCGCAGAUCAACUGGGACUGUUGUUAAAUGCCCCUCAGUCAUGGUCAGCAUAACCAUCAUCUUCAAAUCGUCUUUAUCUGCCUAUGAGUUGUCUGUCUGCCAUUCAGCCACAUGGGUGGUAAUCUCCCACUCAGUCCAGGAGUCAUGGUCAACAUCUCAAGGGUCACAGGAGUCAUGUUCUACAUCUCGAGGGUCAGAGGAGUCACAGGCUCCAUCUUGAGAAUACACUUAGUGUCAGUUCACCCACGUUGUCGGCAAAUUGUGUGGGAUGACUGAAUGGGGGAAUGUGAACCACUCUUGCAAAUUCAGAUGCAAAAGGAUCAUCUAAUAUAGGAGACUAUUGCUCACUUUUCUUUGCUUAUUUUUAAGACAGAAAUGUUAAUGUUAAUUUCAGGAUAAUGAGGAAUUGAUAUUAGGAUUGAGAAGCAUGAGAAUUAGCAAUUAGUGCUAUCAAGAAUGAUUCAGAGUAAAUACACAGGGAAAUACAUAUUGAGCUAUAAAUCACAUGCACUUCUGGAAAUUUUAGUAUUUUAAGUAUUUCUUGAUUAGGAAAAACUGAGUGUGUCUCUUGUAAUUUCAGGUUUUGAUGAAGAAAAACAAAGAAAUCCCUUAUGAAAGUAAAGAAUGGCCUCCCAUGUGUUUUAAGGCUGAAUUCAUGACAGAUAUUUUUCUGAACUGAGUUAAUUUGACCAAACUAAUCCACGGCUCCUCUAAACACUCCAAACCUGUGUUGGAGAGCCUCCGAGUCAUUGACACUGAAGCACACCACUGAACAGUAUUGACACCAUUGUGAAAUCACCCUGUGCCAAGCUGAGCUGAAGGAUCUCCACACCUGUUGGCUCUUUGGUCUGCAGUCAACUCAGGAAGUGAGGAGCUGUAAAGCCCCUUUUCCACCACUGACCAAGUGUCAGCAGCAAACCAUCAGUUAGUGGGGGAAGGGUGCCCUGGGUGGUCUCAGUUCCCUCUGUGUUCUCACCCAUCACACAGGACAAUAGCUAGAUAGUGAUUGUAGCUAUCAAGUAAAACAUGAGAGCCAAGUGGUCUAUUACAUUUUUAGCUAUAUGUAAUUGAACAGAGUCCCUUUAAUUUUUAUUUUUUUUUUUUUAUUUUUUGGUACUGGGGAUUGAACCCAGGGACAUUUUACCACUAGGCUGCAUCCCCAGCCCAUUUUAGUUCUUAUUUUGAGACAAGGACUCACUAAGUUGCUAGGCUGGUCUUGAACUUGCCUUCCUCCUGCCUCAGCCUCCCGAGUUUUGGGGAUUACAGGCAUGCACCACUGCACCCAGCUAAAAGUAAAAGCAAUUUCUGACAACUGUUUCUCUGUAUCUGCUAAUGUCCUCAUGAUGAGAGCCAAAAACUGAAAAACUAACUAUGGCCCCUGGGGGCAGCCAGGAAACUGAGACUGCCAUGAUCUCUAGCCAGCCCAGCCAAAAUAAAUCUCUGCACCCAGAACUCCUGGCUUUGGUUCUAUUAAGUUAUGCUUCUAUGGGACCAGGGAGAAAUGACAUAGCUGCUUCUCCCCAGCUUUGUCAAAGUGCACAAAAUUCAUUUUUUUCCUUUUGUAACAUUUUCUUAUACAGAUGGAUAAUUGAAUCCUGCCAAUAGGAUCCAGGCAGGGUCCCUGGCCGGGCUCCAAAUAACAUAAUCAUUCAAUUGAUCAGUGAAAAUUAUUCAUAAUUUAGAGAUAUCAUAAGUUAUUUUAAUCAGAACUGCUGUUUCUUAAGAGUGCAAGCAAUGUUGACCACAUUUAUUUAUUUUUUCUAAUUUUAUAAUCUUUAGUGCCAGGUUUCAUAAAUUUCCUUGAUACUAGGUACAGUUUCAUAAUUAUUUACAAUCGGUCUUAUUUUCUUUUUGCAUUCUCUAGCCAUCAUUAAUGGAGCCCAUUAUAAUACAUAUGUGAAGGGAAAUGCUGUCCACUCAUGGGAUGUCCUAGGCAGCAGUCUUGGUUCACUUAAGUCCUAUCAUACACUAAAACCUCAAUAACACAGAGAACUGAGUGUUGUAGUGUACUCAAAUGCCAUUCUCUGCUCUGUUCCUACUCACUCCUAAAUAUUCUUUAAAACUUUGUCUGCUAUGCCUCCUUUUUCUAUGCCAGCUUGCUGUGUGUGCCUAGUGGUGAAAUGCCAGGGCUAAUUCUAAGGACUGGUCCUUUCUCCAGCUUGACAGUCUUCUGCUGCUUGCUCACAGAGGUCUAACUUGUCAGAGAGCAGACUUCCUCAGUGUGAACUGGGACUCUAAAUCAAACACCUGGUUAGAUCAUACACUCUGGGGGAGCAGAGGAUCUGCACUGGUUGAAUAGCUGGGUGUCAGUUGCAUCUUUUGAUGUGGCUUAGUAUUUAAGAAUGUAUCAGGAAGCAUCUGGAGUGAGCCCCUUUACACAGGGAUCCACUCCUGUAGUCAAGGAGCAGAUGUGCAGUGAGACAGAGUCAGCAUUAGAUGAACCAAGUUCUUCCAUUGUGACACUGAUGAAUCCUGUGGCCUUGGACUCCCCUCAAACACUAUGAACCUGGUACCUGCUCCUAUUAGGUUGGGAUCACAAAAUAUUCAGGCUGAUUUAGGAUUAAAUUAAGAAAUUUUUACCUACAGGUGAAAAUAUUUCCUACAGUGGAAAGUAAAAUGUCAGUGUUAUACAUAUGUGUGUGAAUUAUUUCAAAACUGUUAGUAAAUAUGUGAGAGUCUCCAGUCUCUUCAUUGAAGCAAUCAACAUAUGCUACUAAGAUGCAUGGAUUUGAAUUGCAAAUACCUGCUGUUCUUCAGGUAUGUAAACCCAGACAAUCCAGAGAGUGAAGAAAUGUCCACAGUCAGAUCCUGUAACCUUUUCCACAGAAUAUUUCUUUACUUGAAGGAAAUGGCAUUUCACAGAAAUUCUCAGGAAACUGAAUAUAUUGUUAUUAAGCCUGAAGAAAAUCUGAAUGUCUUUCAGGGGCAUAUAUAUGCUCAACCUGAAAAUAACAAGAACAAGAGAAAAAACAUACAGGACAACAUUGGCAAGAAUUUAUCUGAUAAACCUCUCAGGCUGACUUCAAUUACCUCUCAUCACACAGUGCCACAUACUGGGGAAGGGAAUGCAUGUGUUCCACCCCGACACCCACAGAUGGCCACUCCUGCUUCACAAGGGACACAUGGCUGCUUGAGCUCCUGUGCCACAAAUUUCUUCCUCCCACGUUGCUGCAAUUGGAAGUUGUAAGGUCAGGCAUGGGUGACCAAAAGGAGGCAGAUUAAAAGGCUGCUGAACGAGGCUUUAUUGAGAUUCACUCCCAGGCGAGACCACCCAGUCCAACAGAGCCUAUCUGGGGAAUCGCGUG
rnacentral:lncRNA from 1 species